rnacentral:tRNA from 1 species
GUGACGGUUCUGACAGUGCAAGAAAAAGACUGAAAAUCCUUGUGUCCCUGGUUCGAAUCCAGGUGGUACCA